UACGGGGGGGAGCAAGCGUUGUUCGGAUUUACUGGGGCGUAAAGGGCGCGUAGGCGGCGCAACAAGUCACUUGUGAAAUCUCCGGGCUUAACCCGGAGCGGCCAAGUGAUACUGUCGUGCUAGAGUGCGGAAGGGGCUACUGGAAUUCUCGGUGUAGCGGUGAAAUGCGUAGAUAUCGAGAGGAACACCUGCGGCGAAGGCGGGUUGCUGGGCUGACACUGACGCUGAGGCGCGAAAGCCAGGGGAGCGAACGGG
rnacentral:rRNA from 1 species